GUGGAUCCCACUAAAGAUAUAUUCACUGGGCUUAUUGGGCCAAUGAAAAUAUGCAAGAAAGGAAGUUUACAUGCAAAUGGGAGACAGAAAGAUGUAGACAAGGAAUUCUAUUUGUUUCCUACAGUAUUUGAUGAGAAUGAGAGUUUACUCCUGGAAGAUAAUAUUAGAAUGUUUACAACUGCACCUGAUCAGGUGGAUAAGGAAGAUGAAGACUUCCAGGAAUCUAAUAAAAUGCACUCCAUGAAUGGAUUCAUGUAUGGGAAUCAGCCGGGUCUCACUAUGUGCAAAGGAGAUUCGGUCGUGUGGUACUUAUUCAGCGCCGGAAAUGAGGCCGAUGUACAUGGAAUAUACUUUUCAGGAAACACAUAUCUGUGGAGAGGAGAACGGAGAGACACAGCAAACCUCUUCCCUCAAACAAGUCUUACGCUCCACAUGUGGCCUGACACAGAGGGCGGCAUGAAGCAGAAAUAUACUGUGAACCAAUGCAGGCGGCAGUCUGAGGAUUCCACCUUCUACCUGGGAGAGAGGACAUACCAUAUCGCAGCAGUGGAGGUGGAAUGGGAUUAUUCCCCACAAAGGGAGUGGGAAAAGGAGCUGCAUCAUUUAC
rnacentral:sRNA from 1 species